UCCUACGGGAGGCAGCAGUGAGGAAUAUUGGUCAAUGGGAGAGAUCCUGAACCAGCCAAGCCGCGUGAGGGAAGACGGCCCUAUGGGUUGUAAACCUCUUUUGUCGGAGAACAAAACCCGGGACGUGUCCCGGACUGCGUGUAUCCGAAGAAAAAGCAUCGGCUAACUCCGUGCCAGCAGCCGCGGUAAUACGGAGGAUGCGAGCGUUAUCCGGAUUUAUUGGGUUUAAAGGGUGCGUAGGCGGAAGGUUAAGUCAGCGGUCAAAUGUCGGUGCUCAACACCGGCCUGCCGUUGAACCUGGUCUU
rnacentral:rRNA from 1 species